rnacentral:piRNA from 1 species
GGCUUUUGCCAUGUAUUCUGGAAGC